UGAAGGUGAUGGAGAUGAUAGAGAUAAUAAAGAUAAUGGAGAUGAUAAAGAUAAUAAAGAUGAUGCAGAUGGUUAAGAUGGUGGAGAUGAUGGAGAUGAUAGAGGUGAUGGAGGUGAUGGAGAUGAUAGAGAUAAUGGAGAUGAUAGAGGUGAUGGAGGUGAUGGAGAUGAUAGAGAUAAUAAAGAUGAUGCAGAUGGUUAAGAUGGUGGAGAUGAUGGAGAUGAUAGAGGUGAUGGAGAUGAUGGAGAUCAGCUCUAUGAUGUUAGACCUGUAACAGAAUUUCUUCCAUAUUGUUCUUUCAGAAGCAAGGCCUGAAAGAGACGAAUCGAUGGAGAAGAUGAUAUUACAUUAAGGGUCGUACCCUCUGAGCACGUCUUAGGAAUGUUACACAUAAACACCCAUAAUGCCGUGUUUUAUGGUCUUCACUGGGUUAGGAGUUUGAUCUAGUUGAGGUUACAGCAUCUGAC
ensembl:lncRNA